GAUGAACGCUGGCGGCGUGCCUAAUACAUGCAAGUCGAGCGAACAGACGAGGAGCUUGCUCCUUUGACGUUAGCGGCGGACGGGUGAGUAACACGUAGGUAACCUACCUAUAAGACUGGGAUAACUUCGGGAAACCGGAGCUAAUACCGGAUAAUAUUUCGAACCGCAUGGUUCGAUAGUUGAAGAUGGCUUUGCUAUCACUUAUAGAUGGACCUGCGCCGUAUUAGCUAGUUGGUAAAGUAACGGCUUACCAAGGCAACGAUACGUAGCCGACCUGAGAGGGUGAUCGGCCAAACUGGAACUGAGACACGGUACAGACUCCUACGGGAGGCAGCAGUAGGGAAUCUGCCGCAAUGGGCGAAAGCCUGACGGAGCAACGCCGCGUGAGUGAUGAAGGUCUUCGGAUCGUAAAACUCUGUUAUUAGGGAAGAACAAACGUGUAAGUAACUGUGCACGUCUUGACGGUACCUAAUCAGAAAGCCACGGCUAACUACGUG
rnacentral:rRNA from 1 species